rnacentral:rRNA from 1 species
UACGUAGGGUGCGAGCGUUAAUCGGAAUUACUGGGCGUAAAGCGUGCGCAGGCGGUGAUGUAAGACAGAUGUGAAAUCCCCGGGCUCAACCUGGGAAUGGCAAUGGAUACUGGCAAGCUAGAGUGUGGCAGAGGAUGGUGGAAUUCCCGGUGUAGCGGUGAAAUGCGUAGAGAUCGGAAAGAACACCAACGGCGAAAGCACUCUGCUGGGCCGACACUGACACUGAGAGACGAAAGCUAGGGGAGCGAAUGGG